rnacentral:rRNA from 1 species
UGGGGAAUAUUGCACAAUGGACGGAAGUCUGAUGCAGCAACGCCGAGUGCGGGAUGACGGCUUUCGGGUUGUAAACCGCUUUUUCUCAUGACGAAGUUUGUUGACGGUAGUGGGGGAAGAAGCACCGGCUAACUACGCGGCAGCAGCCGCGGUGAUACGUAGGGUGAGAGCGUUGUCCGGAAUUAUUGGGCGUAAAGAGCUUGUAGGCGGUUAGUCGCGUCGAAAGUGCAAACUCAGUGCUUAACGCUGAGCCUGCUGUUGAUACGGGCAGACUAGAGGAAGGUAGGGGAGAAUGGAAUUCCCGGUGCAUCGGUGGAAUGCGCAGAUAUCUGGUGGAACACCGGUGGCGGAGGCGGUUCUCUAAGCCUUACCUAACACUGAGAAGCGAAAGCGUGGGGCGCGAACAGG